ensembl:lncRNA
ACCAAGUCCAGAUAUUAUUUUUUAAUAAUUUAUCUGCCAUUGCCAGAAUUGGACAUAAUAUACAUUAUGUAUUGUCCUGCAGUAAUAACAAGUGCCCUUAAUCACAAAACCACAACUGAGCCUACUUGGGAAUUUUAGCAGAGGGUAUCAAAUAGUAAGGUGAUAAAGAAGUUACUGGUGUGCACCCUUUGGCAGUCCUCUACCAGCUGGAAAAAGACUCAUCUAAUGCUGAAGCAGCUCAGCUGGAAAUGGUUUGGGGAAUCUUGGAAUGGAUCAAAACAGACCACAAUGGUUAGAAACAUCUCUGAGCAAGUAAGGAGACAUCAGGUAACUUGUAGCAGAAUGGUCUGAAACUGAAUAGGUCUGAGAAUCAGGGAUUAGGGAUGGCAGCUC